rnacentral:rRNA from 1 species
UACGUAGGUGACAAGCGUUGUCCGGAUUUACUGGGCGUAAAGAGCGCGCAGGCGGUCGUUCAAGUCGAGUGUGAAAGCCCCCGGCUCAACUGGGGAGGGUCAUUCGAUACUGAUCGACUCGAAGGCAGGAGAGGGAAGUGGAAUUCCCGGUGUAGUGGUGAAAUGCGUAGAUAUCGGGAGGAACACCAGUGGCGAAGGCGACUUCCUGGCCUGUUCUUGACGCUGAGGCGCGAAAGCGUGGGGAGCAAACAGG